GGAGGCCACUGCUAUUGGGAUCCGACUAAGCCAUGCGAGUCGAGAGGGUUCGGCCCUCGGCAGACUGCUCAGUAACACGUGGAUAAUCUACCCUUAGGUGGAGGAUACUCUCGGGAAACUGAGAAUAAUACUCCAUAGGUCUAGGAUGCUGGAAUGCACCUAGGUUGAAAGUUCCGGCGCCUAAGGACGAGUCUGCGGACUAUCAGGUAGUAGUCAGGGUAAAGACCUGACUAGCCUACGACGGAUACGGGUUGUGAGAGCAAUAGCCCGGAGACGAUAUCUGAGACACGAUAUCGGGCCCUACGGGGCGCAGCAGGCGCGAAAUCUUCACAAUGUGCGAAAGCACGAUGAGGGGAUCCCAAGUGUUGGUUCGUAAGAGCCAUCUGUUUCUUUGUCUAAAAAACAGAGAGAGUAAGAGCUGGGUAAGACGGGUGCCAGCCGCCGCGGUAAUACCUGCAGCUCAAGUGGUGGCCGCUAUUAUUGGGCCUAAAACGUCCGUAGCCGGUUUAGUAAAUGCCUGGGUAAAUUGUGUAGCUCAACUAUACGAAUACCGGGUAGACUGCUAAACUUGGAACCGGGAGAGGCUAGAGGUACUCCUAGGGUAGAGGUGAAAUUCUGUAAUCCUGGGGGGACCACCAGUGGCGAAGGCGUCUAGCUAGAACGGGUUUGACGGUGAGGGACGAAGCCCUGGGGCGCAAACCGGAUUAGAUACCCGGGUAGUCCANGGUGUAAACGCUGCUCGCUUGAUGUUAGUCGGGCUCCGAGCCCAACUAGUGUCGGANAGAAGUUGUUAAGCGAGCUGCCUGGGAAGUACGGUC
rnacentral:rRNA from 1 species